CCGCUCUCAUGACUGUCAAAAUUUGAAUGUAACAACGGAACAGUUUCGUAGAGUAGAUUUUUAAAAUUUUGAAUUUUUGUACUGAAGGAAGAAAGAAGUAUGCAUAUUACCGAAUUAAAAGGAUCGGGAGAUUUGAGGCCACAUCAAAAUGAAUUAUAUCAUCUUGCUCAAAUGGCAGGACUAAAUAUGAACUUGAGAAUUUUCAGGAUUAUCAUUGAAAUGCUGAACAUCGGUGUCGAUGCAAGAACGAUUUAUAGUCUUUUUAGAUCAGCAGUAAAAACAAGGAGACAUGUAUAGAAAUUUUAGUUGUUAAUAAAUUCUGUUCACUGCGUAUUUUGAAUGCUUUAUAUAUUUUUAAUAAUUCAAUUUAAGUUUAUAUCAAAUAUAUUAUACGUUUGUUGUAAGUAUAAUUUUUAUCAAUGGAA